rnacentral:misc_RNA from 1 species
UAGCUAAAACAGAGCCUCAUAGUGCCCUUGCGAAGAUGCCCCUUUCUGUGCCAAAGUCUGUAAAUAAAGACAUGUCUUUUACGGAAGGACAGCUGAAGGCCCUCUUCAAAGAGCAUGAUGCCAACGGUGAUGGUCGCCUUAGCAAAGAAGAGAUAAAGAAGGCAUUUCAACAGUUGGGUUCUCGCUUCCCCGGCUGGAGGGUCCGGCGUUCACUUCACCACGCUGAUUCUAAUGGAGACGGUAGCAUCGGUUUGGAUGAGCUUGAUGAGCUUGUUAAAUAUGUUGGAAAAUUUGGUUAUAGUAUUCAGUAGAAAUCUUUGCAAGAAAUUAAAGGGUUUAAUUAUUAUGAGAAAUUAAUGUUCUUCAUAUAAGUUUAAUAUUUUUAUAGAUGUGUGAGCUUGGUGCUUGUAAGCUUCAAGCUUGCUUAUCCUAUUACGCUUGUGUUCGGUGUUUGUUCUUCAGUGUUUCAUGACAAUAACAACAAUCUUCUUUGUUUCUAAUAAUUUAAAGAGUUGAUUAUACAUGUAGAUCUUGUUCUUCUGAUCUUUUGGAUUUUGUUAAACAAAUAAAGCAAGAUUUGAUGUUAUUGAUCAUGGUGAAAUGUCCCCAAAUAAUGUUACAGAUAAUG